GAAAGGUGAGGAUGAUAGCGUCCGAGUUCGAAACAGCUAACAAGGUCACAAGGAGUCGAAAUUCCUCGAAAGCUGCCGAGUCUGGUGGGUUUGUUCUCUGGCAAAUGAAUCCAGAUAUGUGGUAUGUUGAGCUUGCUCUUGGUGGCAGCAAGGUUCAUGCUGGCUGCAAUGGGAAGCUUGUAUGGAGGCAUACACCCUGGCUUGGUGCACAUGCUGCAAAGGGUCCAGUUAGACCAUUGCGUCGUGCACUUCAGGUGAAGCCAUCUUUUCUAUUUUGUUCAAUUUACUUCUCACGAUGAACAAAAUUUUUACUUAAUGAUCUCCAUUUUCUUUACAGGGGCUUGACCCAAGAACAACUGCAAGUAUGUUUAUCAAUGCAAGAUGCAUAGGGGAGAAGAAUAUCAAUGGGGAUGACUGCUUUAUACUGAAGAUAUGUGCUGAUCCUGCAACUCUGAAAGCUAGAAGUGAAGGGCCAGCAGAGAUCAUAAGGCAUGUUUUGUUUGGCUACUUCAGUCAGAAAACUGGGCUCCUUGUUCACAUAGAAGACUCUCAUUUGACCCGCAU
rnacentral:lncRNA from 1 species